rnacentral:tRNA from 1 species
GGCUCAUUGGUCUAGAAGUAUGAUUCUUGCUUAGAGUACAAAGGCUCUGGGUUCAAAUCCCGGAUGAGCUC